AACGAACGCUGGCGGCGCGCCUAAUACAUGCAAGUCGAGCGAGAAGACGUAGCAAUACGUUUGUAAAGCGGCGAACGGGUGAGGAAUACAUGGGUAACCUACCCUCGAGUGGGGAAUAACUAGCCGAAAGGUUAGCUAAUACCGCAUACGACUCCUGGUCUGCGGAUCGGGAGGGAAAGCGAUACCGUGGGUAUCGCGCUCUUGGAUGGGCUCAUGUCCUAUCAGCUUGUUGGUGAGGUAACGGCUCACCAAGGCUUCGACGGGUAGCUGGUCUGAGAGGACGAUCAGCCACACUGGCACUGCGACACGGGCCAGACUCCUACGGGAGGCAGCAGUAAGGAAUAUUGCGCAAUGGGCGACAGCCUGACGCAGCGACGCCGCGUGGGGGAUGAAGGUCUUCGGAUUGUAAACCCCUUUCGGCAGGGAAGAUGGAACGGGUAACCGUUCGGACGGUACCUGCAGAAGCAGCCACGGCUAACUUCGUGCCAGCAGCCGCAGUAAUAC
rnacentral:rRNA from 1 species